UUAACAAUAAGAAUUUUAAUUACAGAUAAGUUGUUGCAAAACAGUGCCAAUCAACAUCUCUCACCACAAAAGAAAACUAGAAAAUAAACAAAUCUAAAUAUCAAGCGACAAAAACAACAAUACAAAAUCAAAAUAAAAAAUAAUAACAAAAUAAAACUUGAUAUCAUUGCAUAUCAGUAUGAGGAUUGAUGGGUUAAAUUAACCAAAAAGAUUACAAAGCAAUGUUCAAGUGACAAUCUUUAUAUAUCAAAAAGGUUUACUGGCAGUAUUUUGCAUAAAAAUCACGUUAGGCAUAGAAGAUUAUUCUGUUAAGAAGAUAGUGAUACCACUUCAAACCAAAAAGACGAAAGCAUCUAUAAGAUCACUCAUAAAUACAGUCAGUAGCAGUUAUUUCCAGAAGAACAUAACAAAAGAGAUUAGCACUUUAACAAAUCUCAGCUGCAGAUACAUCUUAUUUCAACUCUAUGCAGCAUUAAUCUCAGUUGGUUGCUGAAAUUAAAGCAAAUGAAAAGACAGUAAAUUUAUGAUACGGAAGCAAGGCCAGUUCAGGAGGGGGUGGAACGGGCUGGACCAGGGAAAGCCAGGGAAGGUUCGGUCCCCAUUGUGGGGACCAGCAAAACUAUGAAUCCAUAUGUCAGGAUAAGGAAUGAGGGAAAUUAAUCACUGUUGAACAUCAAUUUGAAUUCAAAAUAAAGGAGGGAAUUAAUUAAGGCAAUAAGGCUGUUUUGGAGAAAUAGGAAUAGCUUAUUUAAGAGCUAGUUAUUUUAAAUUAUGGUUAUGGUUUGACUGAGUUUGUUGUAGUCUUUUUUUGUGAGGACUUUCUAACAGCAUCUAGGUUGUUUGGAAAAGAUGAUUUACCUCUCUAAUCAUAGAUUUUUGUAUCUUGCUUUCGUAUUGAAGUUAUAAUCCAAUCCACGACUAUUGGAGUAUUUCUGCAGUUUUUAUCUUCUUUCUUCACUGUUUUCACUUUAAGGCGUAUCAAAUUGGUAUCAGAGUGAUUUCCAUGGCUGAAAUUUAAGUCCUCAUCGUUGAUUUCUGCUGCAUUUUUUCUUCCAACCUUGCUAAUUUUCGCCAGUUGAAGACAAGAUUUGCCGAUUUUUGUUGCUUGUCGUGGUUUGGAACAUAAAUCCAUGAAUAGCAACAAAGAAGAUUGAUGCGUUGGAAGGCAAGAUGGAACAACAUAGGGUUGGGAUAGAGGAAAAAUAUUUCGGAAUGGAGAAGUUCACAACUAUGUAAGUAGUUUCAUCCAUGAAAAACCACUUUGAAAACUUGGAAGACAUGAUGAGGAAGUUGAUCGAGAUGCAAUCGAAAACUUCGCCGACUAUUCCUAGGACAAAUCUGAAGGGGAAGAAAGUUCAAGAGGAUGAUAAAGUGGAGAGUGUUUUCCCUCAAGGACCACCCCAAGAGGUUCCGAUGAAGUAUCCUAAAGAAAGGGCAGUAAAAAAAAGGGGAAGUUAAACCCUUUUGGAGGCCACACAGACAGGAGGGAAGGUGGACCGGAAGAAACCAUGGUUGAAUCGAACUAUGGGGUCCAAAUCCAAUAAGGGAGGGGAGAGAAUCACACCACCACUAUACAGGAGGAACUAACAGAGGGAGAAACCAUUGGUGUAUGGAUGCGAGAUAAAGGAAGUUAAAGAUGUCAGUCUUCGAAGGGGAAGAUGCUCGGGGCUUAGUGUACCGAGUGGAGCAUUAUUUUAUUAUCAAAUGGCUGACAAAAGGGGAAAAACUUACGGUGGUGGGGGCAAUGGUUUUUGAUGCAAUAAAAAAGAUUGCAAAAAUACAUACAAACUAAAUCACUUUCUUUUAAAAAUAACAAAAAUAACAAAAUUACCAAAAAUACCACAAACAGACAAAACGUCAUUUCAACAAAACACAACUUAACUUUCAUAAUAGAAAGGCGACGCAUACAAACUUAUAACAUAAAACAUUUAAAACUGCUUUUAAAUCGCUUGAGAAGAAAUAUACAAAUGGGGUGGUUACUUGCGGAGAGAAGAAUAAGAUAAGAAGCCUGAGAUGAAAUCGUAGAUAAGAGAAGAGAAAUGGAACAAGCUCACAAGCUUUUCCAGGAAGAAACCCGUAGAUUUUUUGCUCCAAAAAAUAUCACAUAUCAUCAUUUCUUUAUAAACAAAACAACCCAUAUAUAUAGAUGAAAAGAGGCAGCCAAACAAACCCAAAAAACUACUAGCCGAACCAAUCAGGAAAGGGGAAACAGAAGGUCAGCAGACGCUCCAGGAGCAGCACCCGAAGAGGCUUCACGGGGACAGGAAAAGGCAGCCACGGGAUACAAGAAAAGCCAGUCAUGGGACAGGAGUCAGCGGAGGAACCGAAACGCCAACAGAGGGGGAAAAAACCAAGUCUACUCCACAUAAUGAACUAAAAAGGA